AAAUCCACAGUAAUCUUUGACCUGACGUCCUUGAGCUGCUGAACCAACAUCCCAGAUUGGCUUUCUUUCUAUGUCUGUGAUGCUUAAAACAGUCACUAACAACAUCUUUCAAGUUUCCAAACUCCUUGGUUCAAGACAGCAGCCAUUUCGAAGAAAUUUCCAGAAAGACACUGAUUGUCCAGCUUAGAUGGAAAGUCCACUCUUGGAUCAAUUAACUGAAGCUAUGACAGGAGAGUUGUAUGGAAAACACAUGGCUGCUCCUACUAGAAAACUUCCCAAAAUAUGAAGGAGGGAAAAGCAGGGAGGAGGUGCCGCUGUGAAGACGUAAUGCUUUUUCAGACCCACUCAGGCACAGGGCGCCAGUCCCUGCCCCGGGGACACUGUUCAAAAGAUGGCACUUUCCAGGCUGUAGGCCCACAAAGCCCAGGGGACCGCCGAUAUCAUCACACAGAGAACUCCCGGGUGGGGCAGCAGAGGGGAGCGACCAGCGUACACAGGUACAACAGCACGCAUAUCCAGCAGGAGGCCAUCUUGACCCAGAAGAUGGACCAGCUCCCGCUGAAGAAGCUCUCGAUGUUGGCACUUUCGUAGCUGUGGAAACAAGACACCUAGCCGCGGUCAAAGCAGGAAUAUAUUGAGAUACAAUUCACUAAUUCACAUCCAU
ensembl:lncRNA novel transcript